rnacentral:lncRNA from 13 species
CUUAAAUUCUUUUUUUCAAUCUUUUCAUUUUAGAAAUUGGGACACUCAGGCAAAGAGAGGGUAAGGUCCUUGCUGCAGACCCCAGAACUAGCCAGUGUCACGUUUGAAAGCUGUCAUCACUCCCUUCUGUCUCGGGGAGGGGGCUGCCUCUUCCCAAGGGCUCCUGGCUGAGAGAGGAAGGCCCUCCUGAGAGGUCAGCCCUUGCUCCUGCUUCACAUCCUCAGUCAAGUCAGCAGGCCAGCAGAAGAUGCCCUUCUCUCUCUUCAGGUCUCAGGCCAAUCUUGCUCUCAAAUGCCUUAGAAGUGACUAUAGACCCCAAAUUAAUGAGUAUUUACAUCAGUUUCAAUUAACAGGAAGUGCAGUUCAAGCUGGCUAGUGUAAUAAAAGUCUCUUGUCUCUCAUACUGGAAAGGUCUAUGGGAAGUGUGGGUUCAGCAUCAUUAAAUCAGAUUCCUGUCUUCCCCACUACACCCCUCCCACUGCCAGCUGUGUCCUCAGGCAGACUUCCUUCCCAGUCACAAGACGGCCACCAGCACACAGGGCCACAGGGGAGCCCCUUUCUUAGCCACCAAACUCAAGUCCUGAUCUUGAUGCUGCCUGGUCAUACCCUGUGGACAAGGGAGCGCCAUGUGGGAAUUGGCUCAGGCCUAGGAGAGAGGGACACGGGUGGCCUGAGCCAGUCUCUACCCUUCAGCCCAGUGGAGAGAGGUGGCUCGCUGCUGCUGCACUUUCUGAAGUCAAAGGCCUGCAAGUGUUCUAGGGCACCAGAGCAAUUUGCAGAGUCAUGGAAAGACUAACCAGGAGCCAGAAUAAGGGGAAGAUUGCCACAGGCCCUGGCUUCCUUGAGGCACAGAAAUGUCCCCAGCAUAGGAGAGAAAGAACCACCUCUUCCAAGGCCUCUCUCAGCAGGGCAUGAAUCCACACCUGGAAGGAGGACUUUGAUCCGCCACUCGGGAAGGAGGGAAGGCCAAGGGAACUGCUACAGGAAUGACUGAGAUACUGGCUGAGGCCUGCCCAGCAGAGCAGGUAUUUGCUGCAGGCCACCACAGGCCUGUGUUGCUGUGAGGGGUUUGCAUACUAGGAUCAGAGCCGAUCGCCCAGGACUGCUGAGGACAGUUCAGCUAGCCCCGGCCAAGUUGUCCUCUCCCCUUGCUCCAUAGAGGGUCAGACCACCCUCUAAAUAAACAUAAAGACAGUCUAUUAAAAGAGAUGCCA